rnacentral:rRNA from 1 species
UACGGAGGGUGCAAGCGUUGUCCGGAUUUAUUGGGUUUAAAGGGUGCGUAGGCUGUAAAUUAAGUCAGAGGUGAAAUCCAACAGCUUAACUGUUGAACUGCCUUUGAUACUGGUUUACUUGAGUAUAGAUGAGGUAGGCGGAAUUUAUGAUGUAGCGGUGAAAUGCUUAGAGAUUACACAGAACACCGAUUGCGUAGGCAGCUCACUAAACUAUUACUGACACUCAGAGACGAAAGCUAGGGUAGCAAAUGGG